GGGAAAUUCUGUGACCUACUUAAGAAUAAUUCUUUAUAUUUCAGUUAUAAAUAUUUGAACUUAGUAACUUUUAAUAAUUUUUAAUGAUAGGGAUGUUGGCAUGAGCUCAGUAGAGGUAUUGUCCCUUCUUUUGGUCACUGGUGGUUGUCAGAAGUAAACUUUGCAGUAGCAGCUCUUACCUUCUUUCACAGCCUCUCUGUUUAAUGAUUCAAGCAACUCUCUUCGCUUGAGUAAAGAAAUCAGAUAUGGUUUGUAUUGGGCUAGGAAAAUAGAUUAUUAGCUAACUGAGAGGCCAAUCAUGUUUCUCUACAUCAUCUAGAUCCAACCUUUUAUUUUCCUUCGUCAUUAUAUAACUUUUUUUGUGUGUGUGAUAGAGU
rnacentral:lncRNA from 1 species